UCAGAUUGAACGCUGGCGGCAGGCCUAACACAUGCAAGUCGAACGGUAACAUUUCUAGCUUGCUAGAAGAUGACGAGUGGCGGACGGGUGAGUAAUGCUUGGGAACUUGCCUUUGUGAGGGGGAUAACAGUUGGAAACGACUGCUAAUACCGCAUAAUGUCUACGGACCAAACGGGGCUUMGGCUCCGGCGCAAAGAGAGGCCCAAGUGAGAUUAGCUAGUUGGUAAGGUAAUGGCUUACCAAGGCGACGAUCUCUAGCUGUUCUGAGAGGAAGAUCAGCCACACUGGGACUGAGACACGGCCCAGACUCCUACGGGAGGCAGCAGUGGGGAAUAUUGCACAAUGGGGGAAACCCUGAUGCAGCCAUGCCGCGUGUGUGAAGAAGGCCUUCGGGUUGUAAAGCACUUUCAGUUGUGAGGAAAAGUUAGUAGUUAAUACCUGCUAGCCGUGACGUUAACAACAGAAGAAGCACCGGCUAACUCCGUGCCAGCAGCCGCGGUAAUACGGAGGGUGCGAGCGUUAAUCGGAAUUACUGGGCGUAAAGCGCACGCAGGCGGUUUGUUAAGCUAGAUGUGAAAGCCCCGGGCUCAACCUGGGAUGGUCAUUUAGAACUGGCAGACUAGAGUCUUGGAGAGGGGAGUGGAAUUCCAGGUGUAGCGGUGAAAUGCGUAGAUAUCUGGAGGAACAUCAGUGGCGAAGGCGACUCCCUGGCCAAAGACUGACGCUCAUGUGCGAAAGUGUGGGUAGCGAACAGGAUUAGAUACCCUGGUAGUCCACACCGUAAACGCUGUCUACUAGCUGUGUGUGCCUUUAAGUCGUGCGUAGCGAAGCUAACGCGCUAAGUAGACCGCC
rnacentral:rRNA from 1 species